rnacentral:snoRNA from 1 species
GAGAAGUGAUGAGACGGAGAUAAUUGGGUUUGGAUGGAGUGUGUGUGUGAGGGGGGGAACUGAGGCAGAGCUGGGCAGGCUGUGUGUGGGGUGUGUGGGGGCUCUCGUGGGGGCACUGAUGGCAGUGCUGAGCCAGGAGUGCAUCUGAGGCGUGUUGGGCACCUCGGGGCCCCUCUGCAACACUGCCGGUGAUUAAAGCCCCAAAAAGCCACCAGAGAGCCCCAGGCAGCCCAAAGGUCUCCAGGGUCACCAGUGAUCCUCUGCUCUGAUCUCA